CCUUGAAAUACCACCCUUUAAUGUUUGAUGUUCUAACGUUGACCCGUGAUCCGGGUUGCGGACAGUGUCUGGUGGGUAGUUUGACUGGGGCGGUCUCCUCCUAAAGAGUAACGGAGGAGCACGAAGGUUGGCUAAUCCUGGUCGGACAUCAGGAGGUUAGUGCAAUGGCAUAAGCCAGCUUGACUGCGAGCGUGACGGCGCGAGCAGGUGCGAAAGCAGGUCAUAGUGAUCCGGUGGUUCUGAAUGGAAGGGCCAUCGCUCAACGGAUAAAAGGUACUCCGGGGAUAACAGGCUGAUACCGCCCAAGAGUUCAUAUCGACGGCGGUGUUUGGCACCUCGAUGUCGGCUCAUCACAUCCUGGGGCUGAAGUAGGUCCCAAGGGUAUGGCUGUUCGCCAUUUAAAGUGGUACGCGAGCUGGGUUUAGAACGUCGUGAGACAGUUCGGUCCCUAUCUGCCGUGGGCGCUGGAGAACUGAGGGGGGCUGCUCCUAGUACGAGAGGACCGGAGUGGACGCAUCACUGGUGUUCGGGUUGUCAUGCCAAUGGCACUGCCCGGUAGCUAAAUGCGGAAGAGAUAAGUGCUGAAAGCAUCUAAGCACGAAACUUGCCCCGAGAUGAGUUCUCCCUGACUCCUUGAGAGUC
rnacentral:rRNA from 1 species